AGGAAGGAAGGAAGGAAGGAAGGAAGGAAGGAAGGAAGGAAGGAAGGAAAGAAAGGAAGGAAAAGAAAGGAAAAAAUCCUACAUGACAUGAUCAAAAUAAGAAAUCUUGCCCCAUGGAUUAUUUGGCUUUUCUCUUUACUCAUCUAUUCAUGUAUGUGGUUCUUUUAUUGCCCUUGUCUUACAUAUCUCUCAUUUAGGUAAAUCUCAUUGCCAAGAGUUAGUGUUCACAUAGUGUUUAAUCUUGAGUGACAAAAAUAGUUCCAUUCUGUCCACAGCCAUUGGUUCAUUGGUAAAUAAAACUGCAUACAUGUUCUUCCAAGUUAAGAAGGACCUGUAGACAGAAACUGACCUGCAAGAUCAGUUAGUGGGACAUUUAGAGGUAAACCUUAGAAUUGGAAGUGGAUGUCCUAUAGGUAGGCAAGUCUUGUUUUUGUUGAAAUGUUUUGACUAUUGUUGGCAUUCUACAUUUCCACAAACAGCUUAGAAUGACUGUCAAGUUCUCUGUUGUGACAGAGUGCAUUGAGUCUGCAGCUGUCUGUAAUGUCCUCCAUAUCUUGUUUCCAGGUACUGCUGUGUUACAGUAUUACCUUUUUAAAAUGGCAUUUCCUGUUUGUAACCAAUGCUAGAGAAAAAUAUCUGAUUUUUGAAGAAUUUUGUUUAAUUCUUUUCAUUCUAAUAGUUCCUGAUUCCUGGAAAUAUGCAUAUAAAUUGUGAAUUUUUUUUAUAUUUUUUAAGGUUUAUUUAUUAUGUGUACAGAAGAGGGUGCCAGAUCUCAUUACAGAUGGUUGUGAGCCACCAUGUAGGUGCUGGGAAUUGAACUCAGGACCUCUGGAAGAGCAGUCGGUGCUCUUAACCUCUGAGCCGCAUCUCCAGCCCCGUGAAUAUUUUUAUUUAAAAACCUUUAUAGUGGACGGGUGGUAGCGGCACACGUCUUUAAUCCCAGCACUUGGGAGGCAGAGCCAGGCAACUCUCUGUGAGUUUGAGGCCAGCCUGGGCUACCCAGGAAAGGCGCAAAGCUACACAGAGAAACCCUGUCUCGGAAAAACCAAAAACAAAACAAAAAAACCCAACAACUUUAUAGCCUCCCAAGUAUAGCUACCCAAGUUUCCAUUCACAGGCAGUCAUGCCUUGCUAUUUAUUGAGUUUUGUGGGUGUUACAUAUAAUAGAUGUCUUGGCAGUGUGUUUUGACUAUAACGUUCAGACCUUCUGGCCAUAAGCAAAGUCUUCCCUAGUCUUAUAUUGUACUUACAGUCUUAGUUUUUAUUUUUAUUUAUGUAUCGGUGUUUUUUGAGAUAGGGUCUCACUAUGUAGCUUUGACUGGCCUGCAGUUUGCUCUGUAGCCCAGGCUGGCCUCCAAGUCAUAGAGAUCCCCUUGGCUCUCCCUCCAGCGCUGGGAUUAAAGGCGUGCACCACCACUACACCCUUCCCUGUGAGCCUCGGUUUUUUAUUGUUUCAAAUAUCCCAUUGAUUUUCAUGUAUUGAUUUUUCACUCAUAGGACAACAUAGUCCUGUCUGUACCUGUUUAUUAUAGAUACUUUAAGAUUUUCUCUGUAGAUAAUUGUGUCUGAAAAUACAGCUUUCCUUCCUCCUUUCUAGUCUGGACGCCUUUUGUAAACAUGUUUGGCAUUUGGCCUGUUGUGCUGACUUCAGCCGCCAAUACAGCGAGAAAUAGGAACGGAGCAUGGACAUCCUACCCUGUUUUUAUUCACAGCUUUGAUUCCAGGCCUCGCCCAGCAGCACAGCUCCAUCGCUCCUCUUACGGCUGGUGACAUCCUCUGGUGUGGCUGUAGCAUCUGCUCACACAGUUGGCAGUGGGCGGUGGACAUUUUUACUAUAGUUCCUGUGAGUUUUUGUGAGCUUUUAUAUGAAUAUAUAUUUUGUUUUCUUGGGUUUGGGAAUUACUGGGAUAAAAGUAGUUGUUUCAAGUUCCUGGGAAACUGGCAGUCAUCGUCUGUCCUCAGCAGCACUGAGAGUCCAGUCCUCCACACUUGCCAGGACUUUUGAUUGUCUUUUUUGCUGUGGCAUUCUAGUAAACUCUUGUGCAGCACAGGCUGAACCUUUCAGGGUUCACCUUAUUCGGGGCUGAAACUUUGCCAACUGAAUAAGCUCCCAACACAUCACUCAGUUGUAGGAAACAGUCAUUCCUAGUACACAGACAAAACUACUGACCUAAAAGAGACAAAAUGGCAUGGAGCAAAGUUUUAAAACUUGAUUUUUAGCCAAGCAGCAGCAGCGCACACCUUUAAUCCCAGCACUCGGGAGGCAGAGCCAGGCGGAUCUCUGUGAGUUCAAGGCCAGUCUGGUCUACAGAGCAAGUUCCAGGACAGGCUCCAAAACUGCACAGAGAAACCCUGUCUCGAAAAACAAAAACAAACAAAAAAACUUGACUUUAGGCACUAUUAAAACCCCAAGGAGAGAUAGUCAAGAUGCUUUGGCAGGGUCUUGUCCGGCUCCUUUCCUGCCACAGUGCGCAGAUGUGGUGGCAGUGGUGGGCUGUUUGUGUUGCGUGUGACACAGGAUUCUGCACCAAAGCACUCUUACCCUCUCCGCUCGCUCUUAUGGACUGGAGUCUUUCAGAACUUAGCUUAGAUUUUAUACCAUUGUCCUUUUUAGUCCCCGGGUCCCUUGAACGCUCCAUUGACACUUCUGUUUUUCUACUAGAGAGCCUUAUAUUUGAUAUCAUUGUUUUUGUUUGGUUGGUUUGGGUUUUUUGUUUGUUGUUGUUGUUUUUUUUUCCCCAAAUUAAUCAUCAGCUUAUUUAGGGUUAUCACCAGGGGUGCUUUAUUCUGAGGGUCACAAAUAGUUUAGGUCCUUCUAUAUUAAUUAGUUACUACACAUGUAGCUUCUGAGCCAUGGGCUGGCCAUGUGUUCUAGCUGUCUGGGGCUACAGGAGCAGCCUCUAGGUCCUUCUCAACCCUUCGGAUGCUCUGGUUCCCACAGGACUGUGCAGGCACUCCAAGUAUGGGUUAGAGUUUCUCCCCUCAGAGACGUCUCUGCUCUGACCUUGGAAAGGAGCCUUCUAGAUCCAACACUGGCACUCAGCAUCCUGGUCCAGACCUGCUUAUGGUGUGCUGGGAAGGUGUGCAGCGGCAGCUGCCAGCUGUUACAGGACUGUGUCCCAGCAGGGGGCGCCAGAGUGCCAGCAUCAGGCGCUUGUCUGGUUGUGUUUCUCCUGAAGAGUAUUCCUAUAUAAUAGCAUGUGCAUAGCAUUCAAGGCAGUGAUGUUCUUAUCCUCUUCCAAUAACAUGGAUGAAAGCAAUUGUCAUCCAUCCCUGAUGAGGACAUAUUCGGAGAAAUACAUCAUAAGGUGAUUAGUGUGUAUGUUAACAGCGGGGUGUACUUGAACAAGCUGUUAUCUAUGACCUCAAUAGAUGAUAGAAUCUUAAGAGACUGCCAUCAUGUAUGUAUAUAGAAUGACCCAUCAUCUACUGUUAUAGAAACUUAAGAAGGAAAAACAUGUAUUUAAGGACUAGAGAACCAAUUACAGUAGGUUCUCAAGUACAAACAAAGGAGAGAACCGUUUGGGGGUGGGCGGAAAUCAGCAGAGUUUGAAGGGUACCAUUUAUCCGGGAUGAAUCUUAAAUACUCUAAUUGUAAAAAAAAAAUAUGAAAAUGUUAAUCUUUCACUUUCACUUUCAAAUGAACAAAUAACUCCUGAAAAAGAAUGCCCGUGGAAUACAGAAGUAAAUGACAAUACACUAAGACCUGAACGCUGAGGCUGGCGAGAUGGCUGUUUUUGCAGAAGACUCACAGCCCAGGAGGCUCACGUCAUCUCUGACUCUAGUCUGGAGGGUCCAGUGCUCUCCACUGGCCUCUGUAGCCUCCAUGAGGUGCACAUGCAGACACUCGGCACACACACUAAAGAAAGAAAUGCAUCUUUUCAAAGGAAAAAGGAGAACCCAGUGACCUUUUCACUUUACCUUUACAGUAAAGGAAUCAAUAUGUACUCAAUAAAACAAAACAAAAACUUGGGCGGGGACAUCUGAAUGUUUGGGAAGUAAGGGACAGGGGGGCAGUUCCAAUGCAAAUGCAGGCUGAAUUUGUUUCAUGCAGUUUUAUUGCUUACAGGUCAUAUAUAUAGGGAAAGUCACAUAGUAAAAAAUGAUUGGAAUUUUGGCAAUUUUUCUUUUUAUUAGGCAAUGUUUAUUUUCAUAUUAGAAAAAAUAAGUUCCUUGUGGCUCUAAAUUAAUAAACUAAUAAUGAUCUUA